CCCGCCCGCGGGCGGCAGCAGCGGGGACAGCGGGUCUGCUUUCCUAAUCUGCCCCACGAAAAAGAACAAGCAAAGCUGGGUUAGAAUUUGACAGUCGUUCAGGACCCGGACGACUUCGAUCAUCCGCCCUGAGGCCACUAUGAGCUGUUCUGGGGACACAGGCCAGCAACAAGCGUAGGGACAAGUGUCGUCAGAACAGGAAAACGGGGUGGUGGGAAGUGAUUCGUCGACGCUGGAGGGGCAGCCGUGGAAGGGCCUCUAGGGAGGCCCCAGGAGCUGGGUUUUGAGUGGUAACGAGAGGUUUGUUGGGCGGGGGAACUUCGAAGAGGAAGGCCCUGAUAGGGGCAGGUCCCAAGGGCCCCUCCAGACCCCGCGCUGCCUCGGGCCGCGGGAGGGAGGAUGGGAAGGAGGAAGGACGCAGUGCCUGGUGCGAUAGGCACGGUGAACCUAGACGCAAAGAUUCCAGUUGCUCGGGGCUCACGUCCCAGGCGGGGGGACUCGGCCACAGGGUUGGGGUGCUGAGCCGGGAGGAAAGAAGGAGGGGAGGGCUGGGGCCGGUAGGGAGACACCGACACCAGAGAGGGCACCACGUCCCCGAGCAAGGACACAGGAAGGCGCCAAAAGUCACACGGCCCACGCUGCCCACACGGGGGCCCGCGAGAGCCCAUCCGACUGGUUCACCAGCUCCUCCGCCAGGCGGGCGCAGGACCGCGUCGGACGCGCUGGAGCGCGCAGCUACUCCCUUCCCCAAACCGUGGGAGUCCUGUCUCCUAUACCACUCCCCGGGGCCGCCGCCUGGUGGCGCCGUGCACGGUGGCCUCUGGAACUCCCGGGUACCCUCAAAACCCGAGCCACUGUGCCCUGCAUGGCCCAGUGGGUUUCCACCUCGCUGGCUGGGCCUUGCUCCUUCUCCUGGACCCGGGCCCCCGGAGAUCCAGGUUCUUCCUGGAGGUUUGGGGUGCAAUCAAACUCAGGCUGGGACGGGGGCUCUGCCAGGCCUGAUGACCUCUCAGGGCUCUCCCCUGCCUACUAGGUCCCCCGGGUUCUCCCCUGGCAACCCUAAAGAGCCCCGCAGCAGCGACACCUGUGUGGAGCCACUUAACAGGCACGGUGACAAUUUACUGUUGUUUAACCCGACAGCGAUUGUCCCUGUUUCACGGCAGGGGAAGAUGAGGCAGGGGAGUGUUCUGUUUUGUUGCACCCGAGAUUGA
rnacentral:lncRNA from 1 species